rnacentral:lncRNA from 1 species
CUCGCUUGCUCUCCUCUCAGAGAUCCUGCUGCCCGCUGGGCACAGAUACCAGCCUCUCUCUCGCUCGCUCUCCUCUCAGAGAUCCCGCUGGGCACAGAUACCAGCCUCUCUUUCGCUCGCUCUCCUCUCGGAGAUCCUGCUGGGCACAGAUACCAGCCUCUCUCUCGCUCGCUCUCCUCUCAGAGAUCCUGCUGCCCGCUGGGCACAGAUACCAGCCUCUCCCUCCUCUCUCUCUCCUCAGAGAUCCCUGGGCCCUCUCAGGCUGGUGCAGGAGGAGGCUGUGGCACAGUGCCCUGCUCUACAGCACCUGGUGCCGAUGGGCCAGAGCUCAGUGCAGGCAGUUCAACAGGAUCCCAGCAGUUCUGAUUUGGGAAGAGAUGCCAAGAAUCUCUACAACAUGAUUGUAUGA